rnacentral:rRNA from 1 species
AUUGAACGCUGGCGGCAUGCCUUACACAUGCAAGUCGAACGGUAACAGGUCUUCGGAUGCUGACGAGUGGCGAACGGGUGAGUAAUACAUCGAAACGUGCCUAGUAGUGGGGGAUAACUACUCGAAAGAGUGGCUAAUACCGCAUGAGAUCUACGGAUGAAAGCAGGGGAUCGCAAGACCUUGUGCUACUAGAGCGGCCGAUGGCAGAUUAGGUAGUUGGUGGGAUAAAAGCUUACCAAGCCGACGAUCUGUAGCUGGUCUGAGAGGACGAUCAGCCACACGGGGACUGAGAAACGGCCCAGACUCCGACGGGAGGCAGCAGUGGGGAAUUUUGGACAAUGGGCGCAAGCCUGAUCCAGCAAUGCCGCGUGCAGGAUGAAGGCCUUCGGGUUGUAAACUGCUUUUGUACGGAACGAAAAGCCCCGGGUUAAUACCCUGGGGUCAUGACGGUACCGUAAGAAUAAGCACCGGCUAACUACGUGCCAGCCGCCGCGGUAA